rnacentral:rRNA from 1 species
UUGAAAGGGAAACGAUUGAAGUCAGUCGUACCGACGAGAAAUCAGCUUAUCGUGUGUUAACUUGUGGGCGUGCGUGAGUUUCGGCCUCGCUGUUUGCAUGUUUGUGCGCUUUGGGUGUACUUUUUCGUAUGGUUGGCCAACAUCAGUUUCGAUCACUAUAAAAUGACUGGCGGAAUGUAGCUUCGAUUUCGGUUGAAGUGUUAUAGCCUCUGGUAGAUGUGGUGGUUGGGACUGAGGAUUGCAACGAAUAUCCUUUGGGCUAUCCGUCUGGCCUCUGAAAGUUGCUUGGGUGCUGAAAGCUUGCUUAUGGUUAUCUAAGUUAACGGUUAAUAGGUUAGAACGUAAUUACAUUCGUUAAGGAUGUUGACGUA